UACGGAGGGUGCAAGCGUUAUCCGGAUUUACUGGGUUUAAAGGGUGCGUAGGUGGGUCUGUAAGUCAGUGGUGAAAUCUUCGAGCUUAACUCGGAAACUGCCAUUGAUACUAUAGGUCUUGAAUUAUCUGGAGGUAAGCGGAAUAUGUCAUGUAGCGGUGAAAUGCUUAGAUAUGACAUAGAACACCAAUUGCGAAGGCAGCUUACUACGGAUUGAUUGACACUGAGGCACGAAAGCGUGGGGAUCAAACAGG
rnacentral:rRNA from 1 species